AGUGACUUUCAGGAGAGGAAGCAUGGCAGACAAGAGAAGUGCAGAUUUGGAAGUUGGGGCUUUCCAGAGGCCAACAGAGGAGAUUGUGGACAACAGACGGGCACCUGAAGGAUGAGGGGAGCGUGCCAAGCUCCAUCGACAUCGCAGAGGGAGUCUAAGGAUGGCAUCAUGAUUCUGUGAAAGCACAGGAACCAGAAGCUAUGGUGGUGAUGACAGCAGUUUCCUAUGAACAUCACCUAAUGCUGUGUCACUAUAUUGUGCAUACGAUGACACUCUGAAGGCUGCUGGGAUCACAACAGCAGUAAGAUAACUGAACCCAGCACCCUUUCCACAGAGGGGUUUUUCUGCAGAGCGUGGACAAUGGAAGAGUCAUAAGUAUCCCCCUCGCAGGACGAAGGCCUGAAGUGAGGUGAUGGGGGUUGGUAGAGGCCAUAAAACUUGAGUGCUGACAGGUCUGCAGCUUUCACGAUAAGCUGAGACCCAUGGUGACAAACAACAAAACCAACUGGUAUGUUUGAAUGUUUAUUCUACAUACAUUUGGACUCUGGUCCUAUGGACAGUGAUGGAAACAACUGGAAGAGACAUUUAUGACACCCUGCAGAACUAAAACCACUCUGCACAGAUGAUGAGUGAUCACUGCAAAGCUGAGAUGUUUUUGAAAAUGUUACUUUCUUAUUUUAACUAUUAAAUUAACAGUUCAUUUGUUUGCUCGUAGGGUGCAUAGUGCCAUUGGAUGAGAUCAAUGAUGAAUGGGAUAACUGCUAAUACAUUUGUUAAACUGUGUACUUUUACAGUAAUUUAGGGUGAUUGACAUAUGCUGAGUAUAAAAAUGUUUGCAUUGAAACUGUCAGACAUGAGGUAUUCAUAACUGGGAACUUUUCUAGCAUAAAGGUCAAAAAUGGGGGAAUGUUAGGUUUUGUAUUGUUGAUUGUCAUUUAUGCUUACAAAUAUUUAACCAUAUAUGCUUAGAGGUGUAUAAUCAAUUGUGUAGUGAUAGGAUGUGUGAUCUUUAACAGGCUGCAAAGGCUUGGUGUGUAUUCCACACUGGAAUGCACACCUUCAAAACUUACAUUUAACUACUGAUUUUAUCUAUUGUUCUGAUUUUAUCUGUUUUGAUUUUAUAUACUGUUGUGUUUGUUUGUUAAUUAGUUUGUUUGUUUGCUUGUUUUAAUCAAUUUUAAAUCAUGCUUUUUAUUUGUUUUUGUUUCUAAUGUCUCUAUAAAGCACUUUGAAUCACCUUGUUGUUGAAUUGUGCUAUACAAAUAAACUUGCCUUGCCUUGCCUACAUCCUGGGAGCAUGAGAAGAGGUCGUACCUUGUUUUAUUGUUUUAUGGUAGGAUAAACGUGGCUAUAUCUGUUUUAGGCUAAGUGCCUUUUGUUUAGAUGAACUGUUGGACUUCCAGACCAGCAGGUUUAGGGAAGUCAUUUAUGGGGUCACACUCUGACCCCACACACACACACACACACACACACACACACACACACACACACACACACACACACACACACACAG
ensembl:lncRNA